rnacentral:rRNA from 1 species
CCUACGGGAGGCAGCAGUGGGGAAUAUUGCACAAUGGGCGCAAGCCUGAUGCAGCGACGCCGCGUGGGGGAUGACGGCCUUCGGGUUGUAAACUCCUUUCGCCCGGGACGAAGCCCACCUGGUGGGUGACGGUACCGUGGAGAAGAAGCACCGGCUAACUACGUGCCAGCAGCCGCGGUAAUACGUAGGGUGCAAGCGUUGUCCGGAUUUACUGGGCGUAAAGAGCUCGUAGGUGGUGUGUCGCGUCGUCUGUGAAAUUCCGGGGCUUAACUCCGGGCGUGCAGGCGAUACGGGCACGACUAGAGUGCUGUAGGGGUAACUGGAAUUCCUGGUGUAGCGGUGAAAUGCGCAGAUAUCAGGAGGAACACCGAUGGCGAAGGCAGGUUACUGGGCAGUUACUGACGCUGAGGAGCGAAAGCAUGGGGAGCGAACAGGAUUAGAUACCCUGGUAGUCCAUGCUGUAAACGGUGGGCGCUAGGUGUGGGCUGUGUGUUUGCAGUCUGUGCCGUAGCUAACGCAUUAAGCGCCCCGCCUGGGGAGUACGGCCGCAAGGCUAAAACUCAAAGGAAUUGACGG